rnacentral:rRNA from 1 species
UACGUAGGGGGCAAGCGUUGUCCGGAAUUAUUGGGCGUAAAGAGCGCGUAGGCGGCCUUACAGGUCAGCUGUGAAAACUCGAGGCUCAACCUCGAGACGUCGGUUGAAACCGUAAGGCUAGAGUCCGGAAGAGGAGAGUGGAAUUCCCGGUGUAGCGGUGAAAUGCGCAGAUAUCGGGAAGAACACCGAUGGCGAAGGCAGGUCUCUGGGCCACUACUGACGCUGAGAAGCGAAAGCAUGGGGAGCGAACAGG